AUUGAACGCUGGCGGCAUGCCUUACACAUGCAAGUCGAACGGCAGCGCGUCCUUCGGGAUGGCGGCGAGUGGCGAACGGGUGAGUAAAGCAUCGGAACGUGCCCGGUAGUGCGGGAUAGCUCGGCGAAAGCCGGAUUAAUACCGCAUGAGAUCCGAGGAUGAAAGCAGGGGACUCGCAAGAGCCUUGCGCUACUGGAGCGGCCGAUGUCAGAUUAGGUAGUUGGUGGGGUAAAAGCCUACCAAGCCUGCGAUCUGUAGCUGGUCUGAGAGGAUGAUCAGCCACAUCGGGACUGAGACACGGCCCGAACUCCUACGGGAGGCAGCAGUGGGGAAUUUUGGACAAUGGGCGCAAGCCUGAUCCAGCCAUGCCGCGUGCAGGAUGAAGGCCUUCGGGUUGUAAACUGCUUUUGUACGGAACGAAAAGGUCUUUUCUAAUAAAGAAGGCUGAUGACGGUACCGUAAGAAUAAGCACCGGCUAACUACGUG
rnacentral:rRNA from 1 species